CUUGCAAACUAAGAGGCUUUCAUUUUUUGAAAAUAGGUUGAAGGUUUAAGCCGAAGAUCGGCUGGGUUCUCUACUGUGGACUUCCCAUCUCAAGGAUGGCUCAUCUCACGGUGAAUCAUGAACUUGGGGCUUUCACAUCCAGACUUGGCACUGGAGAGGAAAACCUCUGUGGACCACCACAUGAAUGAACUC
rnacentral:lncRNA from 1 species